ensembl:snRNA LOC120094961 U2 spliceosomal RNA
AUCGCUUCUCGGCCUUUUGGCUAAGAUCAAGUGUAGGAAUGUUGAGAACCAAUGUUUUAAAGUGAACUGUUCACAUCUUAUAUCCUAUUCUAUGGCUUCAUAAGAAGUACAGAUUGAAUGUCCUCUUAAAACUCACAUUGUCAUUUAAUUACCAUUCUGACAGU